GAGUUCACAGUCAUGUUGUUGGAGGCAGCCUCUUGCCUGGAUGGUGUUAUCAUGAACUCGUUGUGUGAUGAGCUUUGUGAACCCUGGACUGGAACUGAACUCAAGGUGUUUUACCCUCCAGUGAACUAUAAACAAGAACUAUAAAAAGGUCCCUCUCCAUCACUAGAGGAUCUCAGAAAUUCAUGAAAACCUCAACUACCAUGAAGUGCUUCUGCUUCAUCUUUGCGAUCCUCUUCUUCUCUUCCUUCCUCAUGGAGGCCACAGGAGAUGACUCCACCGCUUUUUGCGUUGGUGCCUGUAAGAAGAAAUGUGCUGAAGAUGAGAGACCGGGUCCAAGAGUUAUAUGCCAAGUUUUUUCUGACACCUACUGCUGUAAAAAGUAGUGAGAUGCCUACUGCUGCAGAAAGCCGUGAGAUAAAAUGCUGUCAGCGCAAAUAGGCAUGAAUUAUCAAAUGACUAUCAAAGUAAAUUGAGUCCUACUA